rnacentral:lncRNA from 1 species
GUCGGGUUCGGGCGGGUGCGGUCGGCGGCGGGGGAGCCCGGAGGGCCAUAGCGCACGGCCUCGGGGGCUGCAAAGAAGGGGCCGUAACUCAUGAUCGGGGCCCCCGAUUCCGUUUCCGUUUCGUCCCACCGGACCAGCGGUCCGGGGGCAUCGGGAUGGGGCGGUAGCCGCGCUGCAGUUUGAACGGCGAAAAAUGGGCAAGAUCGGGGGCCGCUUAGUAGGCUUUGCCGGUUUCGGCCGUAACUCAUGAUCCGGGCCUCCGAUUCCGUUUCCGUUUGGUCCCACGGGACCAGCGGUCCGGGGGCAUCGGGAUGGGGGGGGAGCCGUGCGGCGGUUUGAUCGCCGAAAAAUGGGUAAGAUCGGGGCCGUUCGGCCCGUUUUGCCGGUUUCGGCCCCCCGGGGGGCGGUUCAUGCCCCGGGGGGGAUCGCGGGGCGGGAUCGGCACACGGCGGGUGAGGUAGUCGGGUUCGGGCGGGUGCGGUCGGCGGCGGGGGCGCCCGGGGGGCUAUAGCGCACGGCCUCGGGGGCCGCAAAGAAGGGGUCGUAACUCAUGAUCGGGGCCCCCGAUUCCGUUUCCGUUUCGUCCCACGGGACCGGCGGUCCGGGGGCAUCGGGAUGGGGGGGU